UUUCCACCAAUUGAGCCUGCCCGUUAAAAUACUAUUCACUCAGUUUCUUUCUAUCGCUCUCGCUCUCCUUCUCUCGAUUUUUCCCAGAAAUUCAAAUUACAAUCGUUUGUCGAAAUGGUGAUUCAGGUUAUAGCUACUGAAGGCUUGAGCCAUUUUCUACAGCUUCUGGAGUUUGGAUGAUUGCAGUGCUCCUGCUCGUUUCCAGAAAUAUUCCCAUGAAGGCGGUGAAGAAGAAAAAUAACUAGGUUGUUUUUCAACAGCUGCUCACGAUACCCGUAGGAGAGUCUCAGCCCAAGGUGUUAAUGCAGCAAGCCUGUCUAAGUAUUAAUCCAGUGGCUAACUAUUCAGCUGUUACUAGAGAUCCUAUGAUUUAUCUCUUUUAUCCUGUGCUUUGAUAUCUGCUUCAGUUGAGGCUUAACUUCAUAUUCGUUUUGUGGCUAAGCAUGACUCCUGCAUAUGAGGAGAUGAUAGUUCAUUGGCUCAUAUUAGGAGGUUAAAGCUAUCACCAACUGAUGCAGGCGAUAUACCCGAUUUUGUCUUAUGUUUUUGGUUCUUGCUUGUAAUGGAAAGCACCAGCAUCAAGCCAGGGUUGAUUUGGAUGCGUUUCUCCGUGAAAGAGUAGUGAAUUUGUGUCCUGAAGAGCAAAGUUCCAGGAGAUAUUUACCGGAUUAGAUUAAUCGUCGUGAUAUUGUGAAGCAUGAUUCUUCUAGAGUGGAAGUGUCUUCUGGAAAUUCGUUUGGUGGUGAGAAGAACGUUAGAUACGCGGGGCAGAGAAAGAUUGUCAAGGAUUCCCUCGACAUCAAUCUUCAGUGGAGAGAAUAUUAGGUUCUGUGAGUUCACAAUCUGCAAUAGCAGGUAAAGUAUUUGGCAGAAGCUGUUGCUUCUGGGAUAAGAAACACAAUCCAGGGUUUUGGAAGGGGAUGUUUCAGGAAGAUGGAUGGGCAUAAAAUUAAUAUUACUUUGAAUAGUUCUUUUCUGUUUGAGUAAUCAUCUUUGGCGAAUGCAGUUUAAGAAACACUUAACUGAUGCAAAGUUCCUGUAUCUCGUUACUCGCAUCGAUUACCUGGUAAUCUUCUUCUUUUUCCUACAAAAAAUCCAUCUUGAAUUUGAUUUUCAACUCAGCAGGAUAGUGAUUGGUCUGCUGCAAAAGAAGAGGCUUGUAAUUAACUGUAGUUCAAAUUUGUGG